rnacentral:lncRNA from 1 species
GGAUGUUACUCAUAAUUCUACUUUUGGAAAAUUUCAGUAUGUGCAUGUAUCUAUAGACACAUGUUCUGGCAUUCUACAUGCCACCCCACUUACAGGAGAAAAAACAACACAUGUCAUUCAGCACUGCCUUGAAGCAUGGAGUGCUUGGGGAAAGCCAAGAUGUGUAAAAACUGACAAUGGCCCUGCCUAUACAUCUCAAAAAUUCCGUCAGUUUUGUGCUCAGAUGCAAGUUACCCAUCUGACGGGCCUGCCCUACAACCCUCAAGGACAGGGAAUCAUAGAGCGUGCUCAUCGGACGCUCAAAUCAUAUUUAAUAAAACAAAGAAGGGGAAUUAUGAUAGAACUCCCCCCAACACCCCGAGUGGCCACUGCUCUGGCCCUUUUUACCUUAAAUUUUUUAAAUCUUGAUGAAGCUGGACAAACAGCGGCUGAGCGACAUUGCUCAGAGCCCAAGAGGACAAAAGAAUUAGUCAAAUG